GACGAACGCUGGCGGCGUGCCUAAUACAUGCAAGUAGAACGCUGAAGGAGGAGCUUGCUUCUCUGGAUGAGUUGCGAACGGGUGAGUAACGCGUAGGUAACCUGCCUGGUAGCGGGGGAUAACUAUUGGAAACGAUAGCUAAUACCGCAUAAUAGUAGAUGUCGCAUGACAUUUGCUUAAAAGGUGCAAUUGCAUCACUACCAGAUGGACCUGCGUUGUAUUAGCUAGUUGGUGAGGUAACGGCUCACCAAGGCAACGAUACAUAGCCGACCUGAGAGGGUGAUCGGCCACACUGGGACUGAGACACGGCCCAGACUCCUACGGGAGGCAGCAGUAGGGAACCUUCGGCAAUGGACGGAAGUCUGACCGAGCAACGCCGCGUGAGUGAAGAAGGGUUUCGGAUCGUAAAGCUCUGUUGUAAGAGAAGAACGAGUGUGAGAGUGGAAAGUUCACACUGUGACGGUAUCUUACCAGAAAGGGACGGCUAACUACGUG
rnacentral:rRNA from 1 species